rnacentral:rRNA from 1 species
UACGUAGGGUGCGAGCGUCGUCCGGAAUUAUUGGGCGUAAAGAGCUUGUAGGCGGUUUGUCGCGUCUGCUGUGAAAAUCCGGGGCUCAACCCCGGACUUGCAGUGGGUACGGGCAGACUAGAGUGUGGUAGGGGAGACUGGAAUUCCUGGUGUAGCGGUGAAAUGCGCAGAUAUCAGGAGGAACACCGAUGGCGAAGGCAGGUCUCUGGGCCACUACUGACGCUGAGAAGCGAAAGCAUGGGGAGCGAACAGG